AGGGGAAUUGCCAUGGGCGCAGCCUGAUGCAGCCAUGCCGCGUGUGUGAAGAAGGCCUUCGGGUUGUAAAGCACUUUCAGUCGUGAGGAAGGUAGUGUAGUUAAUAGCUGCAUUAUUUGACGUUAGCGACAGAAGAAGCACCGGCUAACUCCGUGCCAGCAGCCGCGGUAAUACGGAGGGUGCGAGCGUUAAUCGGAAUUACUGGGCGUAAAGCGCAUGCAGGUGGUUUGUUAAGUCAGAUGUGAAAGCCCGGGGCUCAACCUCGGAAUAGCAUUUGAAACUGGCAGACUAGAGUACUGUAGAGGGGGGUAGAAUUUCAGGUGUAGCGGUGAAAUGCGUAGAGAUCUGAAGGAAUACCGGUGGCGAAGGCGGCCCCCUGGACAGAUACUGACACUCAGAUGCGAAAGCGUGGGGAGCAAACAGGAUUAGAUACCCUGGUAGUCCACGCCGUAAACGAUGUCUACUUGGAGGUUGUGGCCUUGAGCCGUGGCUUUCGGAGCUAACGCGUUAAGUAGACCGCCUGGGGAGUACGGUCGCAAGAUUAAAACUCAAAUGAAUUGACGGGGGCCCGCACAAGCGGUGGAGCAUGUGGUUUAAUUCGAUGCAACGCGAAGAACCUUACCUACUCUUGACAUCCAGAGAACUUUCCAGAGAUGGACUGGUGCCUUCGGGAACUCUGAGACAGGUGCUGCAUGGCUGUCGUCAGCUCGUGUUGUGAAAUGUUGGGUUAAGUCCCGCAACGAGCGCAACCCUUAUCCUUGUUUGCCAGCGAGUAAUGUCGGGAACUCC
rnacentral:rRNA from 1 species